GGGCGGGCGGCGCGCUAGGGUGAUGUGCUCCGCGGGGAGACGGGGCCCCCGGUCGCGCGCGCUGAGGAGACGGGCUAGGGGCGGGGCUUCAAGCGCGUCCCGGGGGCGUGGUCACGGCGGCGGCGCGCAAGGAGGAGGAGCCUGACCUGGGCCGGCGGGGCUUCGGUCGCGGGUCUGACUAUGUCUGCUCGGCUGGAGCUGGAUCCGCGGUCAGCCGAGGCCGGUAGGCCGCACCCUGCGCCUCCGCCGUGACCCGACCCUCUGCGCGGGUGACUUAGGGCUCGUCUCGCGAGGCUGUCCUCAUGGGUGUGAAGUGGCCCUGAUUUGCAUCUCCCUAAUGACUGAGACACUGAUUUAUGCAGGAUUUUUCCAGAGGCCCAUUUACUCAAGCAGAGCCAACUGUUGAGACACAGCACCUGUCACUGAAGGGUGGGGGUCUGUUGGCCCGGGUGGCCUGGGCUGGCCGGCAUUUCCCGCCCCCAGGCAGGGGCCUGUCCUGAGCAGGCUUGCCUCUGGCGGACUCAUGCUCUCAAGCUCCCGCUGCACCUACCUACCGUCAAUCAUCACGUGGUAAGAACUGACUCAGUCACGCCUGCAGCGAAGAUGAGGCCCUGUGCUCCAGGAGCUGACCGAUGCCCGGACAAGCAGAAAUAGACACACGGGCAGGUGCAGACCUCCCCUGGUGCUUCUGGAAGCCUGGGCGAGGUGAGCACACUGCAAGACUGUCCACCAGCCUGUGAGACCGGCCGGCCACACAGGGGCACCACCUGAACUGAAUCCAGAAGGAAGCCCCAGGAGGGACGCUGACGCUGGGGGUGGGACGGGCCUCCCCAGGGCAGGAAAGCCAGGGUCCUGGGUGUAGCAGCAGGCAGAAAGAUGGGCCCAGCUGCCUCGGGCUCUGGAUGCCAGGCUGGUGCCUCCUCUGGAGGCGCGGGAAGGCUGUAGGAAGCCCCGGUGGCCACGCGUUGGGAGGGUGUGGGGCCGCUGCCCUGUGUCUGCUCCGGUCUCAGCGGGUGUGUGGCAGCUCCCCGCCCCCGCCUGCUGUUCUGUGGGGACUGCGGUCUGUGUCACACCCUGGUCACUGGUCCCGCCACACACGUGGCAGUGACACUGUGCUCACCCAGGACACAGGCGUCAUUUCUCAGACUCUUGAGGCUGAAGCGUGUAGGAGCAGGAAGCAAGGCUGUUUCUCCCAAGCGCUGCACCCAGCUCGUGGCACCCACCCUCAUCCAGGUGAGGGGACGGGAGGACGCAGAUGAACAGGGUUACUGACGCUGGAGUAAAUUCUAUUUUUCUUUGGCUCACUGGGCCCCAGCUGCAGUCUGUGGGAUCUCUGAUCUUCAUUGUGGCGUGCAGGACCUUUAGUUGCAGCAUGUGGGAUCUAGUUCCCUGACCAGGGAUCUAACCCAGGCCCCCUGAACUGGGAGCGUGGAGUUGUCAUUACUGGAGCACCAAGGAAGUCCCGGAAUACAUUUCAGAAAGAGCUGUCGGAUAACGAAUGAUUUAAGCAAAAUGAUCUUUCACCAUCGAGCACCAUGCGUGGCCUGUGGAACGACUGCAGGGCCUCCCCGGGGUCAUGUAGGGGUGAGCAUCCCGGGCCAUGAGCUGUGGGGAUGCCAACCCUCUCCCCAGGCCCCCGACCACCAUCUAGCCUGGUCUGCAGAGCACAGGCCUAUCCAUAGUCUCUCCUCCAGCACUGGGAACUCUUGCAAAACCAAUGAUUUAACUGCCCGUAAGUUUAAAAAAGACAAAAAACCAAAACACCAGUGAAUUUACCAGAACUCUGGCCCAGUGUGACUGGUGAUCAAAGUGAAAAAGCCCUAAGAUGGAUUUUUAAAAAGAGAUGAUAAUUCAGUUCUUUAUACAGCUUGACACGAGGAAACAGAUAUCCUUAACAGUGCAAGGUCCCCAAAUGCCUCCAUCUCUGGGUUUCUUGAAGAACAUUUGCCCAACCAUGAUUCUUUCGGUAAGUCACUUUGGUAACCUGGGGAACCCCAGGGCAUGAGCGAGAACUCCAGCAGGAGAUGUGGAUUCCUCUGAACUGGCCUCUCCAAUCUGCUGGAUUUGUUUGAGGCAGGGCUGUAGGAGCAGGGAAGGAGAGGUGAGACUGGUUUCCCCAUUUCCCAAGUUCUUCAGCAAAGGAAAAGGAAAACAUUAUUUUACUAUGUAUCAAUAGCAUUUUACUACACACACUUUAUGAACUUGUAGCAAACCUGACUUUCCAAGAUUAAACAUUUUUAAGUGGAUGGAAGUGAAAUGACCCUGGAACAGACUGUACCAGCCGUGAAAGGAUCUUGUUAAAGCUGCAGUUAACGCCUUGUUGGACUUCUUAUAUGGAAAAAGUUCUGCUUGACUUGAUCAUCCCAGCAAAAGAUCCCAUGGCAACCGGAAUUUUUUUCCCACAGCAGUUCAAGAAAGAAAGAAGGGUGGGGUAACAGAGCAGCCCAGGCUUGUCCCCUGAAGACACGUGACACAUCAUGGUGGUCACCGCCACCUGGGAGUUUGGCCUCUGAGAGAAUUUUGCUAAGCUUCAGAGUCCAGCAAGUCGGUUCAAUCUGUUUCUGGUGCCUCUGCCACCAGAUGUCCUGAGAGCAGACUUGGGACUCUGCUGAGACUGGCCUGGCUGCGGCCACACCGUAGGGAAGGCUUGCUCCCUCCUGGAACCGUGACAUCUUCCUGUGAGUCCCCAGGAAUGGAACAAGGGCAGAGGAAAAUAUGCAUGGAACACUGAGACUGGCAAAUAUGAAGGGACGCGUUCCUUUCAAAGACGACAUUCAAAGUGUUAGCUACUGCAAAUAGUCUGAAUAGCACAGAGUCUUCCCACAAAUCUCGUACUGCAGACUUCUCCCGCAUGUGCACCACCCAGCUUAGUCUGAGUGCCAGAGGUCAGACAGGCAGGCCUCUGGGGCUUUCAGGGCUUAGAGAGAAGGGCAGGUAAAGCAGGGCAUCUCGUGAAGUUACCCAAGAUCCUGCUCCCUGAGGCUGGCAUUGGGCAACACAGACACAGCAGCUGAAAAGCACACCAGGACCCGACGUCCCGGGCUGCAGGGAGAGACACGGCCAGGAGGUCAGUGCUCAGCACCUGAGUAACGCUGGCCCUGGCUCCUCCCAGAGGCAGCAUGCAGGCGGUCUGUCCGAGGGAAGGGAAGAGGGGAGAUGUGAGCUUCUCCUCCUGCCAGGGGUACCCUGGAGCCAUCUCCACGUAGUGUGCCUGAAAACCACACAGCUGAUGCGUGCGAUUCUAAGCAGCAGUGGCAUGGGGACACAGCACCACCCCAGCUGGCUCCAGGGCCGUUGGGGUACCCAGAGGCCCAGCAGCCCCACCCCUGGCAGAUCAGACAUCACCAACUGUCCUGGGUUGGCAGGCACAGGCACCACGGGCAGAAAUGUUACUGUGGCUUAAGAGUGCGAAAAGACCCUAAGAAGCCAAAGUCCCAGAGGUCAGUGUCCCACAGGCACCAAAAGCUGCUGCGGGGCCCGCUGGGCAGGCACCCAAGACAGCACCACGGGCCAUGGGCCAAGCUGGGUGAGCUCCUUAACAAGAUGGGGUGGGGUUGGGGGCAGGAUGCCUCUGAGGGAGGGCCACCGGACAGAAAGGUAUGAUCCAGAAUGUGGGAGUGUCACUUUUGAACUGCUUGACUCCUGAUGAGCAGAGACCUGUGUGUGAGGUCAGAACCGACAGGGAGCUUUAUCCCUUUCACUCUGUCCAGCAAGCAGUCUUUGCCCUGCAUUACCCAUGUUUCAUUUCUUCUACCUCCAUCUGCACUAUUGGGCGGGCUGCCUGGACAGCUAUGGGGUGUGACCUAGGGGGUUGGGCAGGAGCUGGCAGGGAGCAGUGUGCCCUAGGGCAUGUGGACUGCCGGCUACUGCUCUCCUGACCCACCUAGCAGAGGGGAGUUCUGUGGUCUGUGGGGGAGUUCCCGUGAUACUUUGACAAUGGGUUCCAGUUAGAAGUAUGUGACUGGGGUCCCUCUCCCAGGAUGCUUGUCCUGACAGGCCUGGUCAGAAAUGCCAACCCCCCCACCCUCUGCUCCAUGCACCAGACACAGCGGCCUAGCAGCUGGGUCACCCUCCUGUCUAAUGGGCAGGGUUCCUAAUGACCAGUGGGAAGUGUGGCCCCAAUUCCUUUCUGGACAGACUGAUCUCAUAAUCAGAGACAAUGCUAUCAACUAAGAGAAACCAACCAGACCGUGCACAUGGCAGACGGGGCAGUCCAGAGGCCUGAGGAAGCUGUCAGUUAAACUUGAGCGUGUCAGGCAGGCAGCAGAGGACUAUUUGAUUCCAGCUGUUCCGAAGUCUAAGGCCAGAGUAAACCCACUCACCUCUUUUCCCUGUUCUUACUCUAAGGUGUGCCACCUCUGACUCCUGGCCUGCCAAGGGUUAGGAGAACCGUCCCGGAGACCCAGGGGCCUGGGAGCACGGGAAUACCCCCAAAUCCCGCCAAUACCUCAGAGGGCCACAGGUGCAGUGUCAGGGCCUCAGGCUGCUGCCUGAGGUCUCCCUCCCGGCCCCAGAACAUAAGGCUCCCUGCACACUGGCUCGCAGGCGUGUCACCACACAGGAGCACCAAGCCCCCAGGCGGGCUGGGCUGCAGCCAGGGUCCUCCAGGCAGCACACGACCUUGCUUUUCUUUUAAAUCUUCCAGAUCUAGCUGCAAGGGCUCCCGAAGCUUCUUUGCCCCAUCUGGACCUGGAAACGGGCUGAUUUUUUAAAACCAAGAUUCUUGGCAUAUUUGGACACAAUGAAUACUGUGCCUUUCAUAUUUUCUUUGUAUUUCUCCAUAGUUGCUUGACCCAACAUCUGUCUGCUCUAUACAAUGAAAAUACAAACUAAAUGAGAAUAGAAAAAAAUAAUUAAAGCAUUAAAUUGUACAAAUUACAAAUCUGUUCCAAAAUAUACUUACAUUAAAUAAAAUACGCAUUUCAGUUAAGAGAUCUACAGUGAAUGACUCUGCAUUCUGGGAAGCUUCACGACACCUAGGCAGGGCCGACAUUCGUGGGAGGAGCUAAGAGACUUCGCACCAAUCACAGUCUGUUUGUAGCGGGUUUCUGACGGCCAAUCUGCGGGCUACACUGAGCGUCAGCAUCACCUGCGCGGGACUGACGGGGGAGGGGAGAAGCAGCUCUAGCCUCGACGCUGAGUUCAUUCUCAUCAACAGCCUAUACAGUACAGUUUCAAAAAAGUAAACAUGUUAAGGGAAGCAGACAACUCUUUAGAACCCCAGACACAUUUUCUGGCUGUAUUUAUGUGGAACUCUCCGGCUACAAUGGGCGGUCGUAAAGAGGUUCUUCCUCAGGACAACACGGUCACAGGACCCGGACGAGCCGGCGGGACUGAGGGGAGCCGAGGAUCGGGGAGAGGCUCCUCUGGUUGCGGGUGGAGCCCAUCUUUUCACGCACAGUCCGCGGCCCUGCAGUCCUCUCCCCGUAUCAUCUGGCGUAGCGCUUAAUGUAGUCCUCCACUUUAUUCCGGAAGUCCUCCUGCGGGGCGGGGAUCAGGGCCAUGAGUCAUGGGGGAGCGACUCUCUGGGAACAACUGAGGCUCCCCCGAGCCAAGGGCCCCCGUGAACUCUGGGGAGUGUGUGGAAGGCCCAGCCUCAUCCCCAGUAGCCAAGGGGCAGGGUGCGCAGAGACCCACGGGCAGAGUGCUGCCUCCCUGCCACUCGGGGUGCCGGGGUGGGGAUGCCAACACACUCUGGGCAUAAGGGAACAGAAGACCCUUAAUUCUGCAGAUGGGAGAAAUGCCCAGUGCGGUCAAGGUCCCCACGUUGGUCAGGCCAGUGCUCUGGACUGCAAACGGGUCCCGGCUGCUGCUCUCGGAAAGGUUCUGUGUCCAGAUCCGUCUUCCCGGGAUCCUGCUACCUACGACCCAGGUGCAGCAGGCCAUCAAGGUGCCCACCCUGCCCAAGAGGAAAGGGGGGCUUGAACAGAGCCGCCUCCUUGGGCAACAAGCAAAAGCUGCCUGGGACCUGACUGAUCCUCAGGUGUAAAAAGGCCGUAUGGACGCAUGCCCCUCCCAGGCCAGCACGAGCAGGAAAGCCACCUCCCAUCUGAGCCAAUGCCCCAAGUGUGUCCCUCGGUGUUUCCUCUCCAAGGUUAGGAUCAGAAUUCCUUGGCCUUGCAGGACUGGGAAGGGCCCCGGGACUGUCUGAGCCACAAGAGUACUUGGAGCUCGUCCACCUCAGAAGGCCUGUCCGCGUUUGUUGGGGCAGCGUGUGAGCUGAAGGUGGGUUCCCAGCCCCCCUCCUCCCCGCACUGCUGCCCACAGGGUGCCGCCCUUCACCCGCAGCCAGGAACACACACAGCCCAGGGCCUGACGUGCGCCCUCUACUGGUGACCGGGAGGCCCCUGCAGGGGCCCCUAGGGAGGGCGUGGGCAGAACCUCACUGAAUUCACUCGGUCGGUGGGGGCGGGCUCUGGGCUGAGGAAGGGGAGAGCUGUGACCGCCACCAGCUGGCCCAGGGCUGCGCACGGAGCCCCUCACCAGCCCCCUGCCCACAGCCAACACGGGCUGCACAGAAGCCCUGGCCGCCUUCAGCAAAACUCACAAGGCCCACGUCCACAGCACCCGGAAGCCCACAGUACCAUCUGCUCGUGGGGCCAAAGCUCUCGGGGUGGAGUGACGAUCCCACGGGGAGCCCCGCCCUCAGUGUGACCCCGGGAGCACAGGUGGUGUCCACGCCCCUCCAGGUGAGCAGUCCUCCCCAACAGGCCCUGCAGCCCCCCUCGCUCCUCUGAGGCUGCCUGAGAAGGCCAGGAACUCCGGGCUGAAGUCCCGAGCUCUGUCCCCUCCUGGCAGGUCUUCUCCCUUCUUGGUGGCCCUGCUUCCUCACAGCAAAUGAGGGACAAGGUGAGCCCCUCCCGUGUGGAGCUGUGGGCAGAACGAAUGGGUCCUGGGGCAGGCGGGACAGAGCCUGCGGUGUGAGGGCUGGAGGCCGCCUCCAUCCUUCUGCCUGCAUUCCUCACUGUCACGGGGUGAAGCAAGAAUUGCCUGUCGUCACUCACUCACACUGAACUCCGCUAGGAAAUCACACCUUAUAGGAACACCCCUGUCUGACCUGGGGUCACUUUCCUGAGACCACGCACAUUGAUUAUAACAUAAUUAUAAAUGCUUUAAGCUCCAACCCUGGGUUCCACCAUUCUCAAUUUCAUCUUUAUCUACUCAAGGGGCAGUAAUUCUCUUCUUAGGCUUCCCAGGUGGCAGCAGGUAAAGAAUCCGUCUGCCAAUGCAGGAGAUUCGGGUUUGAUCUCUGGGUCGGGAAGAUCCCCUGGAGAAGGAAAUGGCAACCCACACAGUAUUCUUUCCUGGAGAAUCCCGUGGACAGGAGCCUGGAGGGCUACAGUCCAUGGGGUCACAGAGUCAGCUACAACUGAUAAACACAUCAACCUAGAAUGUUCUGUGAAUAGCUUACCUUGUCUCGCAAAUGAUGUUCCGCAGCUUCAAUAUUCAGUGGAUCAUCAAAAUUCAACAGAUCCUUAAAAGGAAAGAGUAAACAGUGGAAAGAACCUGUUUUUCUGCUGUUACCAGUCUUCAUUUUAUGAAACAGGCAACAGAAAUUUAACCAGAAAAUGUUAGAGUGACCCAGAGAGUUAAGAAAUUUGCCAAGAAAUAAAGUUCUUUUGAUGCAGAAGCAUUGAACUUGAGACAUUUUUUUCAAAAUGGUGAUUCAUGGUUGACUGAGAGAAGGGUGGAAUGUGUGUACAGAUGACUUUCCACAGUUUGGUGAGGAAAUAGCAAUCACAUUAAUUUCUAAUGCUAUUUCUUAUAAUUGGGGAAGGACAAACCACUCUCAAUAUGAGCAUUUAUAAAUGAAAAUUCUAUUUUUCCUUAGAAACUCAUUUUCUCCUCGAUUCUGUGAUUAACAACUGUACCUGCUAUGCUAUCAUUCCGGUCUUGCCUGAGCUUCCCCUUCAUCUUUAACUCAUCUCCACAAGCACUGCCCUCACAACCCAGAAGGAAUGACGUCUGGACCCAAACUGAACGGAGGACACUGCCGUUAGGUCAGCGUUCCCCGGCCUGAGGAGGAAGCACCUUCCCACCUCAGAAAAGCCCUGGGAGGGCUCCCCUCCUCCCAUCCUUCCACCUACCGCUUCUCCACCAAGAAUAAGCACAGGUCUCAGACAGGGGGCCACAUCUUAUCUUCAUACUAUCUACUCCUCUUCUUAAAGACCAGGGUAGAAAGAUUUGUCCUUAUGAUGAGUCAUUGCUUUCCAAAGCCAUCAAUGGAUCCUUGUAAAGAAACUGUAUUUCUCCCCAGCAGAAAUGUUUAAUCUGGGGACUGUAUUCCUGAUUUGGAAAUAAAUAUGGCUGUGACCGAUAGUCACAAAUAGAGCAAGGAAAAUCUGUAACUCUUUAUGAUCAUUUACAGCUGGGAAAUUAGCUUCCAAGUCCUAGAAACAGGCAAAAGUAUGAAGCACAUGUAACAGGAGACUACACCAAACACACAGAAUUCUUCAUCUGCUCGACCGUGUAUUAGUACCUGACCUACAUGAAUGUAUGAGGUGUGGAAGAGUCUCUGGUGAGGCUCUGGGUGUUUCAUUUGCUGAAGAUGACAGGGCAAGGCAGCAGGGGGCUGUCCUGUGGACUGUCCAGGACGGGCUCAUUAUCCUGGAGGGACCUGAGGUUUUACUCAAAGUAGCACAGCUUUUUCUUGCCCAAGGACAGGUCCUUGAAGUACCUUUUUUUUUUUUUUUAAGUUUAUUUCUUUUAAAGCUCCUUUAUGAUCAAAUAUAUUUAACUUAUAUGCAGAGUACAUCAUGUGAAAUGCCAGGCUAGAUGAAGCACAAGCUGGAAUCAAGUUUGCUGGGAGAAACAUCAAUAACCUCAGAUAUGCAGAUGACACCACCCUUAUGGCAGAAAGAGAAGAACUAAAGAGCCUCUUGAUGAAGGUGAAAGAGGAGAGUGAAAAGGCUGUCUUAAAACUCAACAUUCAGAAAACUAAGAACAUGGCAUCCAGUCCCAUCACUUCAUGGCACAUAGAUGGGGAAACAAUGGAAACAGUGACAGACUUUUUUUGGGGGGGUUCCAGAAUCACUGCAGAUGGUGACUGCAGCCAUGAAAUUAAAAGACGCUUGCUCCUUGGAAGAAAACUAUGACGAACCUAGAGAGCGUUCUAAAAAGCAGACAUUACUUUGCCGACAAAGAUCGGUCUAGUUAAGGCUAUUGUAUUUCCAGUAGUCCUGUAUGGAUGUGAGAACUGGACUAUACAGAAAGCUGAGUGCUGAAGAGUUGAUACUUUUGAACUCUGGUGUUGGAGAAGACUCUUGAGAGUCCCGUGGACUGUAAGGAGAUCCAACCAGUCCAUCCUACAGGAAAUCAGUCCUGAAUAUUCAUUGGAAGGACUGAUGCUGAAGCUGAAACUCCAAUCCUUUGGCCACCUGAUAUGAAGAACUAACUCACUGGAAAAGAUCCUGACGCUGGGAAAGAUUAAGGGCAAGAGGAGAAGGGGACAACAGAGGAUAAGAUGGUUGGAUGGCAUCACUGACUCGAUGGACAUGAGUUUGAGCAAGCUCCAGGAGUUGGUGAUGGACAGGGAAGCCUGGUGUGCUACAGUCCAUGAGGUUGCAAAGAGUCGGACACGACUGAGAGACUGAACUGAAAUGAUGAUCAAAAAGUCAAAACUCAAAGGAACAACUAAUUGUGAAAAGCCUAAAGGUUGGUGACUACAUGCUCCUUCAUCCAAACCAGGACACCUGGGAGUGAAGCAGAGCGGAGUGUGGGGCGGCCAGGCCCCCAGGGAAGCAUAACCCGAUGGAGGAGACCACAGGGAACGGAGCUGGAGCUGGCCUGUGCUGCCCCCGAGGCAGUGGGGACGCUCUCCUCUCCCCUCCCUCUGCUCUCUCCCCACCUGUUCCCCCAACCUCCCCAUGGGUCACUCCAAAGCACCCUCCGUUCUUAACUCACUGUUCUUCCGACUCACAAAAGUGCCAAAGAGAGGGGUUCAGUAAUUCCCUUGUGUUAUCCUUAAUGUUAUCUUUAAAACCAGCAGACAGAGGAAUUAAAAACAAUUUGGAAUUUUGGUCAAUAUACUUACAGU
ensembl:lncRNA